rnacentral:rRNA from 1 species
CAAUAGCGUAUAUUAAAGUUGUUGCAGUUAAAAAGCUCGUAGUUGAAUUUUUGCUUGCCGCCGAUGUCGGAACUUCCGUACGUUCGGCGGCGUGCAUCCUUGGGUGGAACCUGUGUGGCAUUAGGUUGUCGUGCAGGGGAUGCUCAUCGUUUACUGUGAAAAAAUUAGAGUGUUCAAAGCAGGCUUACGCCGUUGAAUAUAUUAGCAUGGAAUAAUAAGAUAGGACCUUGGUACUAUUUUGUUGGUUUGCGCACCGAGGUAAUGAUUAACAGGGACAGUUGGGGGUAUUCGUAUUCCAUUGUCAGAGGUGAAAUUCUUGGAUUUCUGGAAGACGAACUACUGCGAAAGCAUUUACCAAGGAUGUUUUCACUAA